GGGACCUUCGGGCCUCUUGCCAUCGGAUGUGCCCAGAUGGGAUUAGCUUGUUGGUGGGGUAACGGCUCACCAAGGCGACGAUCCCUAGCUGGUCUGAGAGGAUGACCAGCCACACUGGAACUGAGACACGGUCCAGACUCCUACGGGAGGCAGCAGUGGGGAAUAUUGCACAAUGGGCGCAAGCCUGAUGCAGCCAUGCCGCGUGUAUGAAGAAGGCCUUCGGGUUGUAAAGUACUUUCAGCGGGGAGGAAGGGAGUAAAGUUAAUACCUUUGCUCAUUGACGUUACCCGCAGAAGAAGCACCGGCUAACUCCGUGCCAGCAGCCGCGGUAAUACGGAGGGUGCAAGCGUUAAUCGGAAUUACUGGGCGUAAAGCGCACGCAGGCGGUUUGUUAAGUCAGAUGUGAAAUCCCCGGGCUCAACCUGGGAACUGCAUCUGAUACUGGCAAGCUUGAGUCUCGUAGAGGGGGGUAGAAUUCCAGGUGUAGCGGUGAAAUGCGUAGAGAUCUGGAGGAAUACCGGUGGCGAAGGCGGCCCCCUGGACGAAGACUGACGCUCAGGUGCGAAAGCGUGGGGAGCAAACAGGAUUAGAUACCCUGGUAGUCCACGCCGUAAACGAUGUCGACUUGGAGGUUGUGCCCUUGAGGCGUGGCUUCCGGAGCUAACGCGUUAAGUCGACCGCCUGGGGAGUACGGCCGCAAGGUUAAAACUCAAAUGAAUUGACGGGGGCCCGCACAAGCGGUGGAGCAUGUGGUUUAAUUCGAUGCAACGCGAAGAACCUUACCUGGUCUUGACAUCCACGGAAGUUUUCAGAGAUGAGAAUGUGCCUUCGGGAACCGUGAGACAGGUGCUGCAUGGCUGUCGUCAGCUCGUGUUGUGAAAUGUUGGGUUAAGUCCCGCAACGAGCGCAACCCUUAUCCUUUGUUGCCAGCGGUCCGGCCGGGAACUCAAAGGAGACUGCCAGUGAUAAACUGGAGGAAGGUGGGGAUGACGUCAAGUCAUCAUGGCCCUUACGACCAGGGCUACACACGUGCUACAAUGGCGCAUACAAAGAGAAGCGACCUCGCGAGAGCAAGCGGACCUCAUAAAGUGCGUCGUAGUCCGGAUUGGAGUCUGCAACUCGACUCCAUGAAGUCGGAAUCGCUAGUAAUCGUGGAUCAGAAUGCCACGGUGAAUACGUUCCCGGGCCUUGUACACACCGCCCGUCACACCAUGGGAGUGGGUUGCAAAAGAAGUAGGUAGCUUAACCUUCGGGAGGGCGCUUACCACUUUGUGAUUCAUGACUGGGGUGAAGUCGUAACAAGGUAACCGUAGGGGAACCUGCGGUUGGAUCACCUCCUUACCUUAAAGAAGC
rnacentral:rRNA from 1 species